rnacentral:rRNA from 1 species
UACGGGGGGGGGCAAGCGUUGUUCGGAAUUACUGGGCGUAAAGGGCUCGUAGGUGGCCAACUAAGUCAGACGUGAAAUCCCUCGGCUUAACCGGGGAACUGCGUCUGAUACUGGAUGGCUUGAGUUUGGGAGAGGGAUGCGGAAUUCCAGGUGUAGCGGUGAAAUGCGUAGAUAUCUGGAGGAACACCGGUGGCGAAGGCGGCAUCCUGGACCAACACUGACACUGAGGAGCGAAAGCCAGGGGAGCAAACGGG